UACGGGGGGUGCGAGCGUUGUCCGGAAUCACUGGGCGUAAAGGGCGCGUAGGUGGCCUGCUAAGCGUGCGGUGAAAGUCGGGGGCUCAACCCCCGAUCGGCCGUGCGAACUGGGAGGCUUGAGCACUGUAGAGGCAGGCGGAAUUCCGGGUGUAGCGGUGGAAUGCGUAGAGAUCCGGAAGAACGCCGGUGGCGAAGGCGGCCUGCUGGGCAGUUUUGCUGACACUGAGGCGCGACAGCGUGGGGAGCAAACAGG
rnacentral:rRNA from 1 species